GAUGAAGAACGCAGCGAAAUGCGAUAAGUAAUGUGAAUUGCAGAAUUCAGUGAAUCAUCGAAUCUUUGAACGCACCUUGCGCCCUUUGGCCAUUCCGAAGGGCAUGCCUGUUUGAGUAUCAUGAACACCUCAACUCUUUAUGGUUUUCCAUGAUGAGCUUGGACUCUGGGGGUUUUGCUGGCUCACAGUCGGCUCCUCUAAAAUGAAUCAGCUUACCAGUGUUUGGUGGGUAUCAUGGGUGUGAUAACUAUCUACGCUUGUGGUUUUUCCACCAGGUAACCUUCAGCAGUGGAGGUUCGCUGGAGCUCAUAGAUGUCUCUCCUCAGUGAGGACAGCCCUUUGAAUGUUUGAUCUCAAAUCAGGUAGGACUACCCGCUGAACUUAAGCAUAUCAAUAACGGAGGA
rnacentral:misc_RNA from 1 species